GUGAGGAAUAUUGGUCAAUGGGCGCAAGCCUGAACCAGCCAUGCCGCGUGCAGGAUGACUGCCCUAUGGGUUGUAAACUGCUUUUAUACGGGAAGAAACCCCUCCACGUGUGGAGGAUUGACGGUACCGUAAGAAUAAGGAUCGGCUAACUCCGUGCCAGCAGCCGCGGUAAUACGGAGGAUCCAAGCGUUAUCCGGAAUCAUUGGGUUUAAAGGGUCCGUAGGCGGGUCUGUAAGUCAGUGGUGAAAUCUCCCGGCUCAACCGGGAAACUGCCAUUGAUACUGCAGGUCUUGAAUGUUUGUGAAGUAACUAGAAUAUGUAGUGUAGCGGUGAAAUGCUUAGAUAUUACAUGGAAUACCGAUUGCGAAGGCAGGUUACUAACAAAUGAUUGACGCUGAUGGACGAAAGCGUGGGGAGCGAACAGGAUUAGAUACCCGGGUAGUCC
rnacentral:rRNA from 1 species